CAGCCGCCGCGGUAAUACGAAGGGUGCAAGCGUUAAUCGGAAUUACUGGGCGUAAAGCGUGCGUAGGCGGUUUGUUAAGUCUGCUGUGAAAUCCCCGGGCUCAACCUGGGAAUGGCAGUGGAUACUGGCUCGCUAGAGUGUGUCAGAGGAUGGUGGAAUUCCCGGUGUAGCGGUGAAAUGCGUAGAGAUCGGGAGGAACAUCAGUGGCGAAGGCGGCCAUCUGGGACAACACUGACGCUGAGGCACGAAAGCGUGGGGAGCAAACAGGAUUAGAGACCCGUGUAGUCCCUGUCUCUUAUAC
rnacentral:rRNA from 1 species